rnacentral:rRNA from 1 species
GACGAACGCUGGCGGCGUGCUUAACACAUGCAAGUCGAACGCUGAAGCUCAGCUUUUGUUGGGUGGAUGAGUGGCGAACGGGUGAGUAACACGUGAGUAACCUGCCUCCUUCUUUGGGAUAACGCCCGGAAACGGGUGCUAAUACUGGAUAUUCACUGGUCUUCGCAUGGGGGUUGGUGGAAAGGGUUUUUCUGGUGGGGGAUGGGCUCGCGGCCUAUCAGCUUGUUGGUGGGGUGAUGGCCUACCAAGGCUUUGACGGGUAGCCGGCCUGAGAGGGUGACCGGUCACAUUGGGACUGAGAUACGGCCCAGACUCCUACGGGAGGCAGCAGUGGGGAAUAUUGCACAAUGGGCGCAAGCCUGAUGCAGCGACGCCACGUGAGGGAUGGAGGCCUUCGGGUUGUGAACCUCUUUCGCUCAUGGUCAAGCCGCAACAAUGGUUGUGGUGAGGGUAGUGGGUAAAGAAGCGCCGGCUAACUACGU